AUAGUUUUGAAAGUCGACGAUUAGGACGCGCCUAGUCGCGACUAAUCGCUAGGCUAAGGCCCGGCGCCUGGACUAGGGGGGUAGUCGCCCCUCAAGUCGACGGGAGCGCCUAGGCGGCGCUAGGCGGCGCCUCGCCGCGACUCGGCGGCGCCCAGAAGCCCUAGGCGGCGCGUAAUCGACGCGAGGUGGCCGGCAGGCGAGCGCGCGCGAGCGGCAAAAUGUUUCGCGGCGACGGGCGAGCGCGCGCGCGGGAAAGCUUGGCGCCGCUGGAAGUUUGCCGCGCGCGCGACGGAUAAGGCCGCGCAGGGAUACGGAAGCCGCGCACGACGCUAUUCCGCUGCGACGCGACGCUCCUCUCCGCCAGGAAGCAGCUUCCGCCGGCGCGGCACUCCUCCCCGACGGCCAGUCCGCUCCAACCUCGUCCACUCCUCCACUCCUCCGUCCUCCCCGGUCUCCGCCCAGCUCGUCUUCCUCCCCGCAUCGAAGCUUCGAAGGGCCUCCCCGCCGCCCAGUACGCCCCCCGACGGGCAUCUCCCUCAGGUGGAGCCCCAGCCCCCAAGGCUGUGGCAGAACCUCCUGAAUUAAGUGGCCCACAUGCACACAUCAUUGUCCCAAAGACUUCUGAUCGUCGUGCACGAGUUCCAAAUGACUCAAGAAGUCUGUCGGGUGUCCUCGGGAAACCCGAAUCAUCCACGCAACAUUCUUUUCAGGAAUUCCCUCAUCAAGCAUCACAGUAUUACAACAUUUCAUAGAUAAGAGAAAUCAGAGUAAAAGCGGAAAGGUUACAGAACAUAGAUUGAAACUUAAGUUCAAAGUUUACAAACCAUAAGUAUUUAAUACAUAAAAGCUUCGGAACUUUAUAUUACAUAAACCAUAGAUCACACAACAAGUUUUUACUUGCCCAAGGUCACACAUCAGGUUCAUCAUCAUCACUCUCUUCCACAAGAGUAAAAUACCCAUGACCAUCAAAAGGAUAAUCAAGAGAUUCACCUGCAACAUGGGUUAAUAAAACCCUGAGUACAAAAGUACUCAACAAGACUUAACCGACUAUAAAAGAGGUGAAGACUCAGGUAUGCAGGCUAUGGGGAUUCAAGGUAAAGCUUUAACAAGAUCAAGUAUUUCUUUUGCAUAAAAGCUUACUACGAGUAAACCUACUUUCAAGUUUUAACUCAAGGUUAUCAUUUAUAACUAACCAAAACUAUUAUCAAACUUGUAUAAGCAUACCACAUCUUUCUUAUACCAAAGAUUCACUUGUUACUACGAUGAUGGUGUGAGGAUUGAGGCUCCAUAUCCGAGGAAACACGGCGAUUCGAAUCGAUUAAACCCAGCUGGGGAUUCAGUACCACACGACAUAUGUAGAACUUAAUCUUGCAUAUGUCAACCUUUUCUAUAGAUCCUCCCAUACAAGAACGGGUCCAGCGUCACCCGAGAGUACAGUACACCACCAUCCUACAGCCAAUCUAGAUGUUUCCCGGUCAUCUCAGAUCCGUAAGGUGGGUACACGCUACUCUCGCCAUCUUUCCACUCCCAGUACGCGGUUAGCCGUUCUCAAGUAUCGGAAUAGCUAUAGGUAAGGCUUACCGCCGCAUGUGGGCUGUACUCAAAGGUCUCAAUCACAACAGGCCAACAACGGUACGGUCCUUAAUCGACUCAGUUGGAGACACUACUUUAAGACUCCAUUCUUAAAGCAAGUCCACCGACCGGUCUCAAGUUGAACAUUAUUGACCUUAAAAGUAUUCCACAACAACCCUUCAAACUUUCUCAUUUGAAAACUUAUCUAAUAAGCAGGACUAAGCAUACUAAGCAUUUUCAUAAAGCAAGUAUCAAGGUUAAUAUUGAAAUCAUCAAGGUAGAUAAUGCAGCAAAUAGGAUUCACUCAACUCCUAUUCACCUAAUGCAUCAUAUUAACUCAAGUGAUAUAAAUAACUUUAUGAAAAUACAAGGAUAGGGUUUAAUGUCCGGGGCUUGCCUUGAUCGGAGGGGACGUUCGGAAACUCAACUACUCUCGAAGGAUCCACAAACUCGGAAGAAACCCACUGGGGAUCAGAUUCUUCCGGAGCGUAUUCUAUACGUAAAAGUGCAUAUGCAUGAUUAUGAUAUACUCAAGGUAUGAUAAAGACAAGUUAUAUGUGCUUGGAUAACAACAAUAAACAUGACUAUCUCGAGUACAAUCUACCUUCAUGGUAAAGAAACAAACAAAGCAAACUAUCAAAGCAUAAAUCACUACUAAACAAACUUUAUUAUUUUUAUUAAGCAAUAUUGUGAAUUUAUCAUACCAUAAAGAUAUGAAAAUAAAUCAUAACCAAGGAGCAUAUCAUGCUAAGUAACCAUGGUUGUCAAACAAUCCAAAAUUUCACCCAAAUUCUAAAGGGAUUAUUAUUUCUAUUUCUUUUAUAAGCAUUUUAAAUAGCUUUAUUAAGAAACAGAGCAUACUUGAUCAAACAGAGCUGGAAUUAAUCAUGAAGCUAAAUAACAUUAACACAAGCUCACAUAUUAAAUUUCAUGAUUUUUGGAUAUACCCAUAAUUUACUAAAAAUCAUGGAAGGUUUAUUCAUUAAUACACAAAGGCAAUUUAUGUAUACAUAAAAAAAUUAUCAGAAAAUAAAACCUAACAUUUUUAUUAGGCUCUAUCCAUUUUAUGUAAGCUAUACAAAAAUUUUCAAAAUUUUUGGAUCACUAAACAAUUUAAUACACAAAUUCAAAAAUAAACCAAAAACUGCAUAAAAAGAAAAAGAAAACAACACUGUACCCCUGCGGCCCAGAAGCUUGGCCCAAGCUCGCGUGAAACUUGGCCCAGCCGGCCUUCCCCCGCGCGCGCUGACGGUUUUGCAGAAAAGCCCUCGGCUUUCUUUGAAACCAACCCGUAGACCAGGCUACUGUUCACAUGAGUCUACGGCUUUGCAAACAAACCCCUCCCUCUUCUCGUCUUUACAACUGCGAGGUCCCCGAUGCACCCGGCCGUCCAGAGCGCGACAUCCCGCGGCGGCGUGGCUUACGCCGGCCAACUCCGGUCACCCCGAGCCAAACUGAGGCGAGCACAAGCACCAGCAAGCAACCCGCAACCGAACAAGCUAGCAAACCCGUACUCUACUGCUCUAGCGAGCUCUGGCCACGAGCGACGGCGGACAUGGCCGCGGCGGUGCUUACGCCGGUGGCUCUAGACCGGUAGAGAUAGGAAUAAGAGGUCAGGAAGCAUCGACAUCUCACCCUGGGUGUGUUGACGCAGAGAGAAGUAGCGGAGAACAACCGGGUGAUGCUCGUCCACGCGACCAGUGACUCCGGCGGCGAGCUCCGACGAAGAAGACGAUGUUCCGGCGACAGCUGUGAAGCAAAGAAGAAAAGAGUGAGCCGAUGAGCAUCACAAGGUCAUGGCGAAGCAAAGACGAGAGAAAGAGAGAACAGAAAGUUGCCCGGAUGGGCUGACCACGACGAGCUUGACCCCGGUGGCGCUCUGUCGCCGGCGGAAAGGAGAAUGGUGAAUUCCGGUGCUCUGGUGCGAAAGAGGGAAGAAGGGUGGGUUCUGGAGAUGCGCAAGGAAGUGAUGAAGAUAUGCCCACGGUGAAUUUGGAUAUGAAUCAACCGUGGCGGUGAAUUUUGGAUUGGAGUGGAGAGCUGUCCGUCGGUGCUCCGGUGGCAAUUGACGUCGGUGAGUGCAGCAGAGAAGGGCACGUCGCGCCUCUGGUUGCCAGCAGUUGUUCCACAUCGUCACGGACGUGAACACGCGCUUGGACGGGAUGAAACGGCGGUUCACGAGUCGGCAAACGCCGAUCGACGCUCGGCGGCACACCGCCAUGAACAGGGUCGAGCUUAUCCCCCUUUUCCCCAAAAUACCCUUUCUGAAAACAUAAAAUUACUCUGGGAUUUUGAAUAGAAGAUGAAAAUAUGCCAAAAUAAAAGUUGUACAAAAAUUUGUGAACUACAAAACAUCUUUUGGUGGCCAGAGCUAAAUCUGAGUGGAAAUUAGCUAAAUUUGCCAAACAGUUUUGAAAUUCAAGCUCAAUUCCAAAUUUUUGAAUUGGGGCAAAACAGAAUUUCCAAAAUUACUUUUGAUUUUGUAAAACAACUUGAAAAACUCCCAACAUGAAAGUUGUUCAACUUUUCAAGCCCUACAACUCUCAUGUUGACCAUUUUUCAAAAUUCCAAACAGAUUUUGAAUUGGAGAUUUAAGUUUGAAAAGGGGACACUUUCCGGAAAUCUGUAUUUUCAAAAUUACUUUGAAUUUUGUACUGAAACUUCAAAAACUCAAAACACCAAAGUUGUACAUCUUGACAAGACCUACAACUUUGCUUUUAAACUCAACUUCAAAUUCUGCUUGGUUUUUGAAUUGCACAAAAGGGGGCAAAUCUAGGGUUUUGGAAACUAGGGUUUCCCCCCUUAAGCUCUCGGAAAAACUUUCACCCAAAGUUUUUAAACUCCAAAACAAGCAUCCAUACAUAAAUUAAACACACUUUAAAUCCCUAAACACAUUCAUCCAAAAUAAACUUAUUUUAGGUUAAUGCAUCAGGGUUUACUUAACACUAAACUAUGCAAUGCUCAUGAUGACAUGUCAUGUUUUAAUUCGCUUAACACCAGAGUGUUACAAAGGCUGACGCCCGAAGCCAAAGGUAUGUGCUCGGUCCUCCCCUACUCUGCUCCCUUGAACUGGAUGGUAGAUGAUCUGCUCUGUUUCUUGAUUUGUUUCCUGCUCUCUGUUUCUUGAUUUGUUUCCUGCUUGAACUAACUGAACUGACAUGCAUGCUCUGGUUCUGUGAUUAUAUCUGAUUGCUUGACUGCUUGUUUUGAAAUGAAAUCAG
rnacentral:lncRNA from 1 species